CCUACGGGUGGCUGCAGUGAGGAAUAUUGGUCAAUGGACGAGAGUCUGAACCAGCCAAGUAGCGUGAAGGAUGACUGCCCUAUGGGUUGUAAACUUCUUUUAUAUGGGAAUAAAAUGUUCCACGUGUGGGAUUUUGUAUGUACCAUAUGAAUAAGGAUCGGCUAACUCCGUGCCAGCAGCCGCGGUAAUACGGAGGAUCCGAGCGUUAUCCGGAUUUAUUGGGUUUAGGGGGAGCGUAGGUGGAUUGUUAAGUCAGUUGUGAAAGUUUGCGGCUCAACCGUAAAAUUGCAGUUGAAACUGGCAGUCUUGAGUACAGUAGAGGUGGGCGGAAUUCGUGGUGUAGCGGUGAAAUGCUUAGAUAUCACGAAGAACUCCGAUUGCGAAGGCAGUUCACUGGACUGCAACUGACACUGAGGCUCGAAAGUGUGGGUAUCAAACAGGAUUAGAUACCCGAGUAGUC
rnacentral:rRNA from 1 species